rnacentral:misc_RNA from 1 species
UCAACACGGGGUUGUUGCUGGCCCCCNAAAGGGGGCAUGUGCACGCUCUGUUUACACAUCCACUCACACCUGUGCACCCUCUGUAGUUCUAUGGUUCGGAAGACCCCGUCUUUCUUCCGUAGCUCUACGUCUUUACACACACACUGUAGUGACGUCUCAUGGAAUGUUUUUAUGCGUUUAACGCGACACAAUACAACUUUCAGCAACGGAUCUCUUGGCUCUCGCAUCGAUGAAGAACGCAGCGAAAUGCGAUAAGUAAUGUGAAUUGCAGAAUUCAGUGAAUCAUCGAAUCUUUGAACGCACCUUGCGCCCCUUGGUUGUUCCUUGGAGCAUGCCUGUUUGAGUAUCAUGAACACCUCAACUCUCGUGGUCUUCCGCGAUGAGCUUGGACUUUGGAGGUUUGCUGGCCCUGCGGCCGGCUCCUCUCAAAUGAAUCAGCUUGCCAGUGUUUGGUGGCGUCACGGGUGUGAUAACUAUCUACGCUCGCGGUCGCCCGCCAGGUUACCCUCAGCGAUGAAGGUUCAUUGGGGCUCACAAACGUCUCUCCUCAGCGAAGACAACUUUUGAACGUUCGAUCUCAAAUCAGGUAGGACUACCCGCUGAACUUAAGCAUUC